rnacentral:tRNA from 1 species
AGCAGCGUGGCUCAGUGGAAAGAGCAUGGGCUUGGGAGUCAUAGGUCAUGAGUUCGAAUCCCGGCUCUGCCA